CGCGUAGGUGGUUCUUCAAGUCAGAUGUUAAAUCUCCCGGCUUAACUGGGAGCUGUCAUCUGAUACUGCUGGACUUGAGGGUGGUAGAGGGAGGUGGAAUUCCCGGUGUAGUGGUGAAAUGCGUAGAUAUCGGGAGGAACACCAGUGGCGAAAGCGGCCUCCUAGGCCAUUCCUGACACUGAGGCGCGAAAGCGUGGGAGCGAACAGGAUCAGAUACCCUGGUAGUCCACGCCCUAAACUGUGGAAACUAGGUACAGGGAGUAUCGACCCUUCCUGCGCCGUAGCUAACGCGUUAAGUUUCCCGCCUGGGGACUACGGUCGCAAGACUAAA
rnacentral:rRNA from 1 species